rnacentral:lncRNA from 1 species
UUCUAUUUACCCCAGCGUCUUCACCAGGGUCACCUACUUCACUGACUGGAUCAGCCAAGUUGAGAGACUCACUCCACUUCCAGUACCUGAAUCUGUGUCUCUUCACACAGAACUUCUACCCAGACCUCUGAAGGCUGCUGGCUCCCCACAACCCUGCAGCAUCCUUGUGGCUGCACAAAUCUGGUUCCUGCUGUUAUUUAUCCCCGAAGCUCCACAGUGGGCCCCAGGGUGAGCAACCAGGCCUUUAGGCGUUUUUCACUCAGGGUUUACUUUCUAGAUACAGCCCCCACUCCUUAGUUUACCAUCUGCAUCUUUUCCUCAGCAUAUCUGGCCAUUCAUUGUUACUAUCCCAAACAGCCUAGAAAAAAAAAACUACCAAUAAAGCUUCAUCUUUCUUCA